GGGAAAAGGAGCAAUCCGCUUUGAGAUGGCCUCGCGUCCGAUUAGCUAGUUGGUGAGGUAAUGGCCCACCAAGGCGACGAUCGGUAGCCGGACUGAGAGGUUGAACGGCCACAUUGGGACUGAGACACGGCCCAGACUCCUACGGGAGGCAGCAGUGGGGAAUAUUGCACAAUGGGGGAAACCCUGAUGCAGCGACGCCGCGUGGAGGAAGAAGGUCUUCGGAUUGUAAACUCCUGUUGUUGAGGAAGAUAAUGACGGUACUCAACAAGGAAGUGACGGCUAACUACGUGCCAGCAGCCGCGGUAAAACGUAGGUCACAAGCGUUGUCCGGAAUUACUGGGUGUAAAGGGAGCGCAGGCGGGAAGACAAGUUGGAAGUGAAAUCUAUGGGCUCAACCCAUAAACUGCUUUCAAAACUGUUUUUCUUGAGUAGUGCAGAGGUAGGCGGAAUUUCCGGUGUAGCGGUGGAAUGCGUAGAUAUCGGGAGGAACACCAGUGGCGAAGGCGGCCUACUGGGCACCAACUGACGCUGAGGCUCGAAAGUGUGGGUAGCAAACAGGAUUAGAUACCCUGGUAGUCCACACCGUAAACGAUGAUUACUAGGUGUUGGAGGAUUGACCCCUUCAGUGCCGCAGUUAACACAAUAAGUAAUCCACCUGGGGAGUA
rnacentral:rRNA from 1 species